CCUAAACAGCUUGCCCAGUGGACACUGCAGCAUCUCCCACAGAUGUGCUGGCCCCAUGCAUUAUCCCGGUGCCACCAUACUCCCUGGGCACGUUGGUCACUGCUGCAUGGCAGGACAGAGCACACCUGCAGCCCUGCCUGCCUAACAAAAAAUGGGGGAUGUUGCUUUUUGUCACUGCGGUGCGGUGUUUGUAGAGGCUGAUCGCUUCCAUCCCCAAGAGGAAACACAGCUGGGGCAGCAGGGGAGCCCCCAAUUAUUAGGGGCCCUGCUCCGCCCCGCAGGACCCCUGUGCACCCGCCGCACCUGGGCAGGGCGCAGCCCUGACGGCAGCUGCCAGCCCCACACCUGCCCCAAUUUAUGGGGCACCACUGGGCACCACCUCCCUUUGUGCUGCUACUGCUUGGCCAGGUCAGGAAGAAAUACCAGAUACGUGGCGCGCUUAUGGCAUGAGUGGUGUCUGCCCUGUGCGGAUGAUCUCCCCCAAAACCAAAAAUUUGGGGGGGAAAGGGGUAUCCCCUGCCCAAGCUGACAGGCUGGGCAGCACGGCGAGUGAUGCCCACGCACAAGAGCCGCCUGCUUGAGGAUGCUGUGCUGGUUUUUCCCCUCCUGAAGAGGUGGAGGAAUGCUCGGAGGAUGAGCAGCAAACCCCAGGCCAAAGCUUGCUGCCCAGACUUCUUCCUGGCCUCAAUGCGUCUGCUGAGCGCUCGGGUGUGAUGCUCUGGUUUUUCCAAGAGCUCCUGCUUCAGCAAAUCUGUCAGGAGGAGAGCGCUCGCUGCCCGGUGACAAAACGCAUUCUUGAGAUGGAAAAAGCUCUUUUCAAGGAAAACAUGACAUUUCAAUGGAAAAGUAACUUUGCAUGCUGUUUCUAAUUUUAAAGCUCUGCCUUGGAAUGCUCCCAUGGACUUUGAAAUCAGAGCUGGCCCUUAUGCUUUCCAGGUUUUAUCCACCUUUCCCAUAUAAUUUUGAAUUGCUCCCUCUGUUAACGAGACAAUAUUAAUUCUGCCUUGGUGGAUUUUGCAUAGAUUGCUUCCAAAGCACAGCUUUCCUUAUCCCAUCCCUUACUUUUUUCCAGCUCUCACUAUAAAUACAUUGAUGCCCCAGCCCAGGAAGUGCACAAAGCCCUGUACCUGGCUGCUGCCUCCCGGACAGAUGGAUGGAUGGAUCCUCUUCCCAGUCUUGCUGCUUGCUGAGAUUAAAUCUUACGGACACAUGCUUCAAAUUGGCUCGUUUAUAAAGCAUUUCAUCUCUGUUAAGCGUGCCCGCACUAAUUUCCCCUGUUAAUCUGACCUGUGUCUUGGGGGAGAAAUGCAGGUGGGUUUUUCCCCCAAUAUUUCGAGUGAUCCCAACCCGUCCCUGCUUUGCUGUGCUUGCUCAGAGCAUGGGAGCCGAGCUGGGGCUGCGCCAGGCGCUGCAGCGGGACGGAGCCAGCAGAGGGAAGGCGAGAGCGAGGGAUGCAGCUUCAGGAGAGGGAAAAAUGGCCACUGGAUGCCUGCUAUUAUUUUUUCCUAAAUAACUGUGAUCUAAUCAAGCUAACGAGAAAUGCAGCCUGUAGCCAUCUGCCUGAUAGCAGUGUCAGGAAGCAGCUGAUGCUGCAGGUGUCUCCCCAUCCACAAACCUGGCUGUGGUGCUCCCACCAGCUGGCAGCCGCAUUUCUCACCCAGUGCCCGGUGUUAUUGCAACCACAGCCCCUCCGGUGCUGAUGCCACUGCCUGCUCCUGGCCCUCACCCACCUUGCUGUGUGAGCAGACGCAGCAUUAAACCAUUGCGCUGACAGCUGAACCCUCCUGGCUUGCACAGAGCAUCCCUGCUGUCCCCUGUGCCACGCUGUGUUUGGCCAUGGGGAUGUGGAAAUUUCAGGGCUGAGAGCCACCAGCAAUGUCCUGCAGUGGCCAGCUCCCACUGGUGUCACCAUUAUGGGACACAGGAGGGGUGACAGGGCCUGGCCCCAGGUGAUGGGGUGGUGGCAGAGGGCGCAGUGCCCUGGGCAGUUCUCUCCUGGCCCAGCUUCUGAGUGCCCGGAGCGGCUCCAGGGAUGUUCAGGAAUAUAUUUAGGAAUAUUUACUCUGGAAGAUGGGAUCGUGGUGCUGCUCCAAGGUGUCCUUUUAGGUGAAGCGCAAACAGGUUCGUUUAAACAAGGUCGUCCCUUUAACAGGUUUAAGUGGGCUUCACUGUAAAAUAAAUUUAUUUCAACAAAACCUUUUUUGAUAAAU
rnacentral:lncRNA from 1 species